AUUGGUUUGCUAUGAGUAGUGAAAUAAUGUAACGCAUAUUUUUGAUCAGAGAGGUGGAUAGAAGGAUAGCUAGAUAUUUAGAUAGAUCGACAUGUAGAUAGAUAGAUAGAUAGAGAGAGAGAGAGAGAGAGAGGUAGAUAGAUAAGUUUCUUUAUUGGCCACACAGGGCUGCACACAGAUGGGACAAGUUACAAGGUAGAGCUUUUCUUUUGGGGGAUGAAAAAAACAAAAGAAACAAAAAAAUAAGGUGGCGUAGGUUUUCGAUCAAAAGGGAUCGGAUCGUAAAAGGAAAAAAAAAAAACAAAAAAUAAAAAAAAAGAAGAAAAGGAAAAGGAACAAAAGAAAAGAGAAAUGAAAAAAAAGAAGAAAAAACGGGAAAAAAGGGGGGAAGAGGAAAAAAAAACGAUCAAUAGGGAUCGUGUAUCAGUGAUAUGAUGCAUGGUGUAAAGGGGAAAGCAAGUAAGGUUUAUCCGUGGGAAGAAAAGCCUACGAAAAAGACCACGGUAACCUUGGUCAAUAUUGUUAUAUGUUACCACAUUUGUUUGCAAGUGGGUAACCCUCUGUUUUCAAUUUCUGGGUUCAUAGGAUUAUGCUCAAGGUGGCUUCGUCAUUCAUACGUGCCAUCCUUGCUACAUUCACCCAUCUUUGUUUAAAACAUUCGCUAGACAAAACUUGCCUCUCUACUCUCACUUUCCUUUUCAAGUGGUACUUGAAGAAGUUGAUGAGAGAUUGACCAGAGAGGAAAGUGUUUGUCUCCAAUCCUUUCAGACGCGUCCACCAGAUACAUUCUUUCGCCAUAGCCACAAGGAUGAUGAAAAUAGCUCUUCCUUCCCGUUUGAAGGAAGGAACCGUGACAAUAUUGACGAUAGACUCAGCUGAUAAACCGACUCGUCCCACACGUGACAGCAGUUGUUCGACAUAAGCCCACAGGUCGGAAAUUGUUGGACACUGCACGCUCUCGUGCAGAACGGUUUCGUCGCUCUGACCGCAUCUCAGGCAGGUCGGCCCCGUGUUUCUUGAGCCGUGUCUGUAGAGCUUAUCCCAAACGGGUAGCGCUUCUCGGUAGCACUGCCAGGCCAGGGAUCUCUGAAAGUUGUCCAUGGGCCCUGGCCCGAAAGUCGUCCCGAACAGGCGGGUCAGGUACUCCGCGUAUGCAGACACGCUCGUCCCGCAUCCCAGUUCUCGCGGGAUGCCCCUCAAAGUUGCCAGCUUCCGCAAUAAUGGCUCGAGAGUCAAUACGUAUAGAAGCAACGAGAGGGGCCAUCUCUGACGGACCGAACGUGCGAUGUUGAAAGGUCUCGAUAGAUGUCAAUUUACGCGAAUUACCGAACGGAUGCCUCUGUACAAAGCGGCUAUCCAGCCGCGGAAGACAGGACCGAAGCCAGCCGCUCUGAGAACUGCCUCCAAGUAUCGAUGGUCCACCCUAUCGAAAGCUUUUGAUUGAUCCAAAUUUAUCAGCGCCCCACCCAUGCCGGAUUCGUUAACUACCCUGUCUAUGAUGUAGUGCAUCAGGUGGAGGUUGUCAUGGAUGGUCCGGCCCGGCACGGCACAUGUUUGCGCCUUGUCGACCAGUUUCUCGAUGACAAGCGCCAACCUCUUGGCUAGCACCUUGGCCAAAAUUUUCAAGUCUGCAUUAAGCAGGGUGAUGGGCCUAAAGUUAUAUAUUACAUUUCCCUUGUUUAGAUCUUUCUUCAGCAGUGUUACGGCUCCUCGGCUCACAAAACCAGGAAUGCUCCCGUUUUGCUGCCAGUUGCAGUACACCGCCGCCAAGACAUCUCCAAACAAGUCUGGCAUACAAUUGUAAAGCUCGUAGGGUAGACCAUCCAAACCCGGUGAUUUGUCCCUCGAGCAUUCUGCCAUCGCGUCCUGCACUUCCGCCGCCGUGAUGGCACCUUCACAGCACCCUGCCUCUCUUGUCGAGAGUCAUGGUAGGCUGUGUAGGUAGGCACUGAAGUCCACCCUACGUUCUUGCCCGCCACUCAUCCCGAACAGUCGGGCAAAAUGCUGUUGAAAGGCCUCACACAUUUUACUUGGCUCAAGCAAUUCGCGCCCCUGUUCAUCUACCAGAGACCGAAUGGUGGCUUUGUUGCCCUGUUGCGCCUCUGCCACCCGGGUCUCUCUCGUGGCUCCAACACCUUCAUUCCUUAGAGCACGCAUCCUAGCUCUGACAGCACACCCUUCGUGUUUGGCGUUGAAAUGUUGGUCGAGGGCCAACCUCGCCGCCAAAACGUCGGAUGCGAUGCCGCUUCUAAUUGCUUCUUCUAGCUUCUUAACUAGCUCACCCUCUACUCUAUUUCUAUCUAUGGCUAGUGCUUUGCUGUACCUAAUCGCUUCUGCUUUUACUGCUCUCUUGAGGGCAAACCACUAUUUGUUGUUGAUGAUGGCUCCCGUCAAAGCCCUCUUUACUAGUGUGUUAAUCUGGUUUCUGAAAACCUGUCACGAUGGGAAAAACGCGUUUAGUUUCCAGUAUCUGGGACCCUGCCUAAGUGUCUUACCUAAGUCUAGCGUACAUGUCACAAGUUUGUGAUCCAUGUAGCUGACUAUGUGGAAUUGUGGACAUCCUAUGCUAUCUCUAUCUACUGUCCUACACAGUAUCCUAUCUAGAUACGAUCUCGACAACCCGAUGCGGUUGCUCCAUGUCCACGUUGGCGCAUUCGGGUGAUCUAGUUGGAACCUGUCAGACAGUUGAAAGCGUCUGAGCAGGUCUCUGAGGCAUUUGCAUCCCCGUCUAUUCCUAUCUCUACCCACGUAGUCUACAUGCGUGUCCAAGGUAGCAUUCCAAUCCCCCACUAAGAGUAAAGGACGAGACGUUCCCAAGAAUACUUCUAGACGUUGAAAGAAAUCCGCCCGACCUGUUAAGGGCGGUGCGUAGACUGAUACGAGUCGAAAAGCGCACCCAUUGCUGCCGUCGACAUCCAAGACGACCAGUCUACCCUCCGGGUCUACGAAUAUUGUCUUUACUUUGAGAUCCAGACUCUUGCGAAAAAGUACCGCGGUGCCACUACUGCCCAUUCUUGGCAGACAGGGGGAAAAAUAAAUGUUGAACUGUCCGCCAAACAUGGUCUUUAGGACCCGUGGAUUGUGGAGUUUGGUCUCACUUAUGGCUAUGAUUUCUAACUUAUGUGACUUUAUGUCAUUUAAGAGGUACCCUUGUUUCCAAGGGGAUCCCAAGCCACGCGCAUUUACACAACCAAUCUUGAUCAUAAUCCUAAUGAAUUAGAAUACAAGUGAAAGGAACAGAGGGUUACUUACUGCUCGAAAGUUUUUGCUUUCUCCUCCUUUGGUUUGUCCUCGAGGAGAUCCCAGUACAGUUUCUUUGUGAGAUAUUUUUGGCAUUUACCAACCGCACUGGGGAAAAUGCCUUUGAGUGUGUGGUGCAGACUUUUGGAGAUGUGUAAUAUUUUGUUGUGGUCUGGUGGUGUUGUGUAUGGGUGAUUGUUUGUUUUUAUGUCAUCUUCUGUUAUGUUUGUUUUUGAUUUGAUGUAUUCCAUCAAAUUUGUGUUUUUGGUGUGUAUAGCUGUGAGCAUGUUUGCUGUAUAUAUUUUUGUGGUGUUGGUGUGGCUGUUGUUUGUGUUGGGUUUUGAAAUGUCUUCGAGAGAUGUAUUUCCCCCUGCUUUGUUUGUGUUUGCAUUUGGUUUGGUUGUGUUUCUGCUCUUUAUUUUCCUUCUUUUUGUAGCUAUUUGCCAUUCCUCACUGGUUUCGUCUUCCGACGAAAUUUCUGAGGAAUAAGUAGGGAGUAGGGGUAUGUUGUAGGCUUCUAUGUAUGUCUGUGUAAGUGGUUGUGCUGUUGUUUUCGUUGCUGUUGGUUGUUGAGUGUUUGUGUGUGGUGAGUGCGGUAUGAGGGAUGGGGAAUCAGUUUUUGUGUAUUUUCUUUGUUUUUCUGUUCCUUUGGUUCUUGCUGUUGUUGGUGGUGUUGGUAUUUUUUCAGGUGUUGAGUAAUUUUUGGUUGUUGACGGAUUAGCUUGGUGUGCUUCUCUUGUCGUCUUCUGUGUUGAUGGUGGUGUGGGUAGUAGAGCUUUUUUUCCGGAGUGUUUUGGUUGUGGUAGUGGUUGUUGUUGUUGCUCUUGGUGUGCAGCGGUUGGGCACGUCUUUUUCAAAUGUGUUUCACUUCCACACAAAUAGCAGCGUGGUCGCCUGCCCUCUACCAUUACAUAAAGUUUGUAGCCUCCUGGCAGUUCUUUAGUGGUGGGUAUCUUUUCUCUUGCUGUUUCAUCCAAUUGAAGAAGGAAUUGGAUUGAUUUUCCCACAUAGUCUUUCUGUUCUAGAACAGCGAUUUCAAGGAUGUUUGUCUCUGCCAUUUCAAAGCAGAUGGCAGAGACUAACCAUUGUGUUUCGACUUCAGGGGGUACAUUUUUUAUUUGGACUUUUCGUCACUCUAUGGUUUAAAUAGGUUGGUAUCAUUACCAAGUCGUCUGAAUGCAGCUCCAAUGUGGAAAAUCGUUUUGCUAAAUUUUCGUUGAGGAAAUGUACUUGGACUGUACCAAAUUUAUUUCCCCAACUGAUAUACUCCUUGGAGUCCCAUGCAGGACGAAGGCAUUUUAAAAUUUUUUCCUGCGGUGCAUUUUCUGGUCGUUUUGUUUUCUUGUUUAUUACUUUGUAGAUUAUUGGGUUUUUUUGUGUGUUUUCCACGAUGUGUUGUCGAGUGUGAAGAUGCAAUUUGUCUCCUUCUUUGGUGAAGAGUGCUUUUGUGAGGUUUAUUUCCUGUGUGGUGAAUUUUACGAUUGUUCGUUUUUGUUUUGUCGCAUCCGCGAAAUUCGUUUUAAUUUUGGUGGUGUUAGCAGCAGAAGGGUUAGUUAUAGCAGCUGAAGUCGUGGUAGUGGUGUUGGUGUUGGCGGUGCUGUCUUUGGUAGGCGGCUUUGUGCCGAUUUCGUUGUUGUUGUUGGUGGUGAUGGUGGUGGUGCUGGCAUUCGUUUUCGUCUGUAUUCGUUUUUGGGCAAUCUUUCGUCUCUAGUAGACCUUUCCGUCGAUUUCCGUAAAAAAAAUUUUUUUUUUAACAUAUGGGCUUGCGGGAACUUUUGAAGUAAUGAGAGCGAAAGAGACUAAGAGAAAGCGAUUGUAUGACAAGGGAAGUUCUUUUGAAGGUACCGUGCAUGGGAGCAUUGAUGGACAUGUGUGUGUGUGUGUGUGUGUUUGAUAGGGUGUGGGAGACAGACAGUAUGUUGUGUAAGUGAAGUGCUUCUGUUAGUGUGUGUGAAGAGACAAAGUAAUGUGUGAAAGAAAGAGAUAACUGAAAUUUUUUACUCGGUGUAUGUGUAUAUGUAUGUAUAUUACUUCAAAAGUUCCCGCAAGCCCAUAUGUAAAAAAAAAAAUUUUUUACGGAAAUCAACGGAAAGGUCUACUAGAGACGAAAGAUCGCCCGUUUUUGAAAUCCCUUUCUCCGUCCUUUUAUCAUCGACAAGUGGUGUAGGGAGUGGGGGCAAUCUAAGUUAAUGUCUUUGUUGUUGUUGGUGGUGGUGGUGACAGCGGUGUUCAAGCUGCGAGGUUUAGCAGCUAGUGGUAGCAAUAAUGUUUCGCUACCGUUCCGCAUGACUGGCGGGCUAGCCACGUGGUUUCUAGUUGCCAUUUUCAAAAUGAAAAAUGGCUAAAAGGAACCCACGAAAGUUUUGAAAGUUUUUGGUAAUUUCGCCCAUACAGGGGCGGAAUUCUACGUGAAUAAUUCUCAGGUUUUUUAGUGAAUGAACUCGCGCAACGAUUAAAACAAAAUAUUUGACAACAAGGAGUUUUAAACAUGUAAAAGUGGCCAACUUACAUGGAGCCGAUAUGACUAGCGUCCAUCCAUGUCGAGAUAGAUAAGAGAUAGAUAGAUAGAUAGAUAGAUAGACAGACAGACAGACAGACAGACAGACAGGCAGGCAGGUAGAAGGCAGGCAAAGAGACAGACAGACAGACACACACACACAUACACACACAGACAGAUAACUUUCUUUAUUGGCUACACAGGGCUGAACACAGAGGGGACAAAGACAGAUAGAUAGAUAGAUAGAUAAGGAGAGAGAGAGAGAGAGAUUACUAGAUAGAUAUGCUUGGAUAGAUAGAUAGAUAGAUAGAUAGAUAGAUAGAUAGAUAGAGGCACAAGGAGAGAGAGAGAAGAAGAGCAUGACGAAGGUGUUGUAUCAAGUUUGUGAAGCUGCAAACAAGGAAGUGAUGAAGUUUAACUCUUUAGCAUUUAAAGCAGCCAUAUCCAACCCAAAUAUUCUACCUGUUUUAUGUUCAGACCAGCCAGAUCUGGCCUUUCACACCUACCCUACAAUGCCAUUAUAAAAAAAAUAGACGAUGACAAUAUCAAAAUCUCAAAACCACAAGAUAAUGCAUGAUUAAUUGAAAACAUUGUGAAUAAAUAAGAAUUACAUUUGAUAGAAUGCAUUAUUUACAUUAUUUACAUUAUUUACAUUCAACAGAUAUUUGUCCUCAUCUUGUUUGUUGUUAACACGGUUCGGCUGAUAUACCC
rnacentral:lncRNA from 1 species